AUUGAACGCUGGCGGAAUGCUUUACACAUGCAAGUCGAACGAUGAAGUCUAGCUUGCUAGACGGAUUAGUGGCGAACGGGUGAGUAAUAUAUCGGAACGUAUCCAUUAAUGGGGGAUAACUAGUCGAAAGAUUGGCUAAUACCGCAUACGUCCUACGGGAGAAAGCUGGGGAUCGUAAGACCUGGCGUUAAUGGAGCGGCCGAUAUCUGAUUAGCUAGUUGGUGAGGUAAAGGCUCACCAAGGCGACGAUCAGUAGCUGGUCUGAGAGGACGACCAGCCACACUGGAACUGAGACACGGUCCAGACUCCUACGGGAGGCAGCAGUGGGGAAUUUUGGACAAUGGGCGAAAGCCUGAUCCAGCCAUUCCGCGUGAGUGAAGAAGGCCUUCGGGUUGUAAAGCUCUUUCGCAAGGGAAGAAAACUUAUCCUCUAACAUAGGGUGAGGUUGACGGUACCUUGAUAAGAAGCACCGGCUAACUACGUGCCAGCCGCCGCGGUAAUAC
rnacentral:rRNA from 1 species